CUCGGGCAGCUGCAGCGGCCACCUGGAGAGCAGUGAAGCCAGUGCGCCGCCCACCUGGAAAGAUGCUCCAGUUACAAAUGAUAGAUCCAAAAUUGUCUUCUGGAAGAAACAUCACAAAACUUCAAAGGCCAAGAUUAUGCAAAACUGAAGUGCCAAUGGGUUUACAUGGUUCACUCCAGGUGGAAUGAAUCCCUUUACCAUCAUACUUCCAUGAAAUUAGAAAAAAGUUACCUACAUAGGCAGAGAAUUCAACUGUGAGUUGACAAUUAUUUACGAUUCUCUUAACUGGCUGUUUCACAACGUUAUGGAGCUAAGAAAGGAUGAAAGCUUACCACUGCUUGGAUACCAGCUUGAUAAGCAGCUUGGAAUGUCAAAUAUAUAACAAGAAAGGAAAUAUUCUACUUUAAAGGAACAU
rnacentral:lncRNA from 1 species